UUUGUCCACAGUCAGGGCUGUACCAGGCUGUCCAUUACUCAAGAAUUUUGAACCAUAUUGAAUUGCCCUGCAGAUCUUGUCUCUGGCUUCUGCCUUGUUCAGAUACAAAACUAAUAAACCAAGUUCUGCUCUAGUUGCAUCCAGUGAACUCAUUUUUUAUCCGAAUGGAGUGCCCAAGAAUUUAGCCUCGAAAACCACAAUUGGCCUUUUUCUUCGCUUUCUCUCUCCGUAUAAAAAAAAUCUACAACACCAGAGUCAG
rnacentral:misc_RNA from 1 species